CCUACGGGGUGCAGCAGUGGGGGAUAUUGCACAAUGGGGGAAACCCUGAUGCAGCGACGCCGCGUGUGGGAAGACGGUCCUCUGGAUUGUAAACCACUGUCCCCAGGGACGAAGAUGACGGUACCUGGGGCUGAAGCUUCGGCUCACUACGUGCCAGCAGCCGCGGUAAUACGUAGGGAGCGAGCGUUGUCCGGAAUUACUGGGUGUAAAGGGAGCGUAGGCGGGACUGCAAGUUGGGUGUAAAAUCUACCGGCUCAACCGGUAGCCGCACUCAAAACUGCAGUUCUUGAGUGAAGUAGAGGCAGGCGGAAUUCCUAGUGUAGCGGUGAAAUGCGUAGAUAUUAGGAGGAACACCAGUGGCGAAGGCGGCCUGCUGGGCUGUUACUGACGCUGAGGCUCGAAAGUGUGGGGAGCAAACAGGAUUAGAUACCCCUGUAGUC
rnacentral:rRNA from 1 species